rnacentral:rRNA from 1 species
GAGGCCCUACGGGGCGCAGCAGUGGGGAAUAUUGCGCAAUGGGGGCAACCCUGAUGCAGCGACGCCGCGUGAAGGAAGAAGUAUUUCGGUAUGUAAACUUCUAUCAGCAGGGAAGAAAAUGACGGUACCUGACUAAGAAGCCCCGGCUAACUACGUGCCAGCAGCCGCGGUAAUACGUAGGGGGCAAGCGUUAUCCGGAUUUACUGGGUGUAAAGGGAGCGUAGACGGCAGAGCAAGUCUGAAGUGAAAGCCCGCGGCCCAACUGCGGGACUGCUUUGGAAACUGCCCGGCUAGAGUGCUGGAGG